rfam:Microgenomates (Woesebacteria) bacterium GW2011_GWB1_38_5b TS96_C0028, whole genome shotgun sequence.
GGGCGGAUGGCGGAAUGGUAUACGCGGUAGUCUCAAAAACUACUGAUCGCAAGAUCAUGUGGGUUCGACUCCCGCUCCGCCCA